rnacentral:rRNA from 1 species
AGCAGCCGCGGUAAUUCCAGCUCCAAUAGCGUAUAUUAAAGUUGUUGCAGUUAAAGCUCGUAGUUGAAUUUCGGGAUCAAUGUUUCGGUCAUGCCGUUGGUAUGUACCGAUAUUAUUGGUUUCUCACCUUCUAAAGAACCGUAAUGCCAUUAAUUUGGUGUCACGGGGAAUUAGGACUGUUACCUUGAAAAAUUAGAGUGUUUAAAGCAGGCUCACGCUUGAAUACAUUAGCAUGGAAUAAUGAAAUAGGACAUCCGAUUCUAUUUUGUUGGUUUCUAGGAUCGAUGUAAUGAUUAAUAGGGAUAGUUGGGGGCAUUAGUAUUCAAUUGUCAGAGGUGAAAUUCUUGGAUUUAUUGAAGACUAACUACUGCGAAAGCAUUUGCCAAGGAUGUUUUCAUUAAUCAAGAACGAAAGUUAGGGGAUCGAAGACGAUCAGAUACCGUCGUAGUCUUAACCAUAAACUAUGCCGACUAGGGAUCGGAUGAUGUUAAUUUUUAAUGACUCAUUCGGCACCUUACGG